rnacentral:rRNA from 1 species
AUUGAACGCUGGCGGCAGGCCUAACACAUGCAAGUCGAACGAGUGGCGGACGGGUGAGUAAUGUCUGGGAAACUGCCUGAUGGAGGGGGAUAACUACUGGAAACGGUAGCUAAUACCGCAUACCAUCAGAUGUGCCCAGAUGGGAUUAGAUAGUUGGUGGGGUAACGGAUCAACAAGGCAAAGAUCCCUAGCUGGUCUGAGAGGAUGAACGGCCACACUGGAACUGAGAAACGGUCCAGACUCCUACGGGAGGCAGCAGUGGGGAAUAUUGCACAAUGGGCGCAAGCCUGAUGCAGCCAUGCCGCGUGUAUGAAGAAGGCCUUCGGGUUGUAAAGUACUUUCAGCGGGGAGGCGUUACCCGCAGAAGAAGCACCGGCUAACUCCGUGUCAGCAGCCGCGGUAAUUC